rnacentral:rRNA from 1 species
GAUGAACGCUAGCGGCAGGCCUAAUACAUGCAAGUCGAACGGGAUCUAGAAGCUUGCUUUUAGUGAGAGUGGCGCACGGGUGCGUAACGCGUAUGCAACCUACCUUAUACAGGGGGAUAGCCCGGGGAAACUCGGAUUAAUACCCCAUGGUACAUUUGGAUGGCAUCAUUUAAAUGUUAAAGAUUUAUCGGUAUAAGAUGGGCAUGCGUAGGAUUAGCUAGUUGGUAAGGUAACGGCUUACCAAGGCGACGAUCCUUAGGGGUUCUGAGAGGAAGGUCCCCCACACUGGUACUGAGAUACGGACCAG